rnacentral:rRNA from 1 species
CCUACGGGAGGCAGCAGUAGGGAAUCUUCGGCAAUGGGGGGAACCCUGACCGAGCAACGCCGCGUGAACGAAGAAGUUAUUCGGAAUGUAAAGUUCUUUUAACAGGGAAGAAAGAGAAAUUUGACGGUACCUGAAGAAUAAGCUCCGGCUAACGACGUGCCAGCAGCCGCGGUAAGACGUAGGGAGCCAUCGUUAUUCGGAACUAUUGGGCGUAAAGGGGGCGGAGAUGACAUAGUAUGUCUAGUGUAAAAAUGCUGGGCUAAACCCAGUAGGGCAAAAGAUACUGUAAAGCUAGAGUAAGACAGAGGCAAGUGGAACUACAUGUGUAGCGGUGAAAUGCGUAAAUAUAUGUAGGAACACCAGUGGCGAAGGCAGCUUGCUGGGACGAUACUGACAUUAAGGCACGAAAGCGUAGGGAGCAAACAGGAUUAGAUACCCGAGUAGUC